GAACUGGUGGUUCAGUGGUAGAAUUCUUGCCUCCCAUGUGGGAGACCCAGAUUAGAUUCCCGGCCAAUGCA
rnacentral:tRNA from 1 species